GUUCAUGUUCAAUUUUAUUCAAUCUUGGUACUGAGGCCAUAUAUAAAGUUAAGUUACAAAAUAUAUGAUUAGUGAACAAUUUGCUUUUUCAAGUCACAUAAUUCUGGAAUCUAUCAAACACAACAUAGUAUUAAGGUGGUACAUAACACUACAGGGAGAUAACUCUGUAAAAAUCAGCUGAACGUUUUAAUCACGUUCUAUUGUUAAGGAAAUAUUAAGCUUCUCAAUGAUCAAAAUUAGGGUUUGUCAAACUGCUAUAUAACCAAAGAAAUUUUUCUGAUAAAGUGGUUGGUUCAAAUUUUUUGAAAUUUUUAUAUUUUUGUCAAAGGGUCAAAGUAAACAUUUUGUCAAAAUUUUAGGAAAAUUAAACGAGCCAAAUUAAUGUUAGUCAAGGUGUUUGGUACCACCUUAAAUAUGGCUCCCAUAGUAUAGCCAAAUUACAUGAAAGUGGCAUUAAAUACCAACAUGAGCAAUCAAUCACAACUGAAAUUAAAUAGAGCGUUAUUAGAUCCUUGUAAGCAAAGCUUGAAUGCAUAUUAGUAUUUUAAUCAGAUUGUUUUAUAUGAACUUUUUUCUUAUAAGUUCAGCAUGGAUGAAUCUCAUCACUUUGUAUCAAAGUACAACAUUUUUGUUUUGUAGAAAAAAGAUUUUUUUUAGAACUGACCGUAUAAGAAAUAUUUUAGAAAUGAGAUAGUUAUGUCUUUCAUCAGAAGCCUAAGAUGUUUCAGUUGUAAGAGUAUUUUGUACAUAUAUCUAGGGAAAAAAGGGUUUGACAAAUAAAAUAAAUUUGCGCAAAAUCAUGGGUUUGUAGCUGUUAGUUACCUAAGUGUUUCUGACAUGAAGACAAUAAUUCUAAUUUUUGCCUGUCACCAAUCAUUUGAUUUUCAAUCUAAACUUUUUGUAAAUCACAAUUGUGAUCAAUGAAGUGUGCAUGCCUCUUUAUUUUGGGAGGGAACCCACCAAACUUUAUUUUAAAGGGAGGAUGGGAGAAUUGGAAGGGGAGUUACACCUAGUAGAAAAAGGAGUUUGGAUGGUAUUAACACUAAUUAGCUGACAUUGAAAUAACUUUUACAAAAUUUUCUGAUAAAAAGGAUGUUUAUGAUUGUUUUGGGGGUCCAGGAACCAUCCCUGUUUAUUACAAAGUUGAUAUAGCAUAUCUAUACAUUAACAGUGGCGGAUCCAGGGGUUGGGACCCCCCUUUUUUUUGACGAUCAGUGCAUUUGAAUGGGGACAUAUAGUUGGAACCCCCCCUCCCUUUAUCCUGGGUUAGGAACCCCCCCCCCCUUCCUUUUAUAAAUGGCUGGAUCUGCCCCUGAUUAAUAUUGUAGCUGAUUAAAUGAGCUCAAUAUUUAUUUCACCAUAGCUGUUUUCCAAAACUGUUUUAAAACUUUUAAUCAAUUUAAAGAAAAUAUUAAUAUGCUACCUAGUAUUAUUAGGUCUUUGUGAUAAGAAUAUUAAAAUGAUAUUUAUACAUUUUUAGGAAAAUAUAUAAUGAAUUCAUGGCAUCAUCUGGUGUCUUUAAUGUUUUGUUGUGAUAGAUCAGUAUUUUAGUAGAUUUUAGUCGGUGAAACAUUAUAAGUGUCUUUUUAUAAAUUCAUGUAAAUAACAAGAUUGUCAUUUGAGAACAUAUUUUAUAUAUUAGAGUCUAUCUUAUAUUCAUUUACAUAUCUGAAAUUGAAUGUGUAUCCUGAUUUUUUCAACGUUGAAUUUGAAUACACAAAUUUUGUACAUUUUUUUGCAAUCUCCAUGUAAUAUUACCAUUUAUAAUAAUAUGAUCAAUUAUUGUAAUGUUACUUGUUGAAGUAGAAUAUAAGUACAAUGAAAUACUUUUAUGAAUAUGCAAGAGGAAGCAUAAUAAAUGCAUGAAUAAUGUAAAGAUGUUAAAAACAUUGAAAAGACCAAGAAAACACUGAUUGCCAAUAGCAAAAAUAUUUGAUUCUAUACACAUGAGAAAAUCAGGAUAUCAGUUCAAAUUAUUAAAAUCAAAAUGUCAGAUCUUAUGAAUUUUAUUUUUGUGUAUGUCUACAAAAUUGUAAAACUUUACAUGUGUACAUACAUUUUGCUAGCUUGUUUUUUUAUGGUAUUGGUUGUGUUUUUUAAAGGGUAUAUUUAAAUGAAAUACAUACGCAAUAUUGUCAAGAUAUAUUUUUAAGUUUUUCAUGACAUUCCAUUACAGGAAUCUAAACCAGAAUUAAUCAUGUGAUUAUUUUUAAAGACCCAAAUGUUCACUAUGCAAGAAAAACAUUAAAAAACUUCAUAAAUCUUCAAUGUUGUAAAAAAAAUUAAACAAAUUCUGAAAGGCUUUUCCUUCUGGUGCCCAAGUAUUUUCUAGUAACACCAAAGCAGUUUCCCUAUGAUAAAUGCACCUCGUUGAAAACUAAUUUUAUUUAAAAAACCUAUUCAGAAUGCUCCAUGGUACAAUAUAUAAGGGUCUGCAGGGAAUUUCAAUAAUGAUAUUUGUUCAACAGUUUGUCAGUUUCAAUUUUUUUACUUGCAAAUAUUUGACUGCAAUUUGAUUAUGGUCUGGCUAAUUAUUAAUGCAGAUUAAAGGUAAACUGAUAUUUUGCUUUGACCUAUUUUCUAUAAAAAGUUUAAUUAUAACAUUGAAAAAUUAUUAUCAAAUUCCUGAUCAUUUUUGUAUGAUUGUAUUAUUAUCACUCUUUCUCUCUAAAAUUGAACCAGUAACAGAUACAAAGUUGUUUUAUUGAGAUCAAUUUUAGUGGCCAGGUGUUACAACAUCUGCUAAACAAUUAUGUAAAACAGAAAUUAUCUCAAUCUUAUACUGAGUAGCCAAGAGUUUUAGUCUGUAAUUCUGAUUUUUAGGGGUAUUUGUAUUCAAAAUGUAACUAUCGCUUUUAAUCUAACAAAUGCACUUGCUGCUAUAACCAGUUCUGAUUUUUAAUUGUAACUUAGUGUUUAAAUCAUAUACAAAAAGAAAGAUAAUUGUUGUUGCUUAUGUAACAUCCAGUGUAAAAAAAGAUAGAAAUAUAGCAAUACUUUACUAGAUACCACUGCUGGCACAUAGCCCUCAAAAAAGCUUUUGUUCCCAUUUAACUGUCCAGGUGCGGAUCUAGGAUUUUGAAAAAAGGGAGGCUCUGGCAAGACAGCUUGUUUAAAGGCUUUGCAUUUAUCUCAUAUAAAGGUCUAUAAGUGUGAGGGGAAAACACCCCAUCUUAAAUCCACCUCUGCUGUAAAUUCAUAAAUUUUACAUUUAUUAUUGCUAAUGUUGAACAAUGUUAAAAAGAUGCAAGAUUAAGGGAUCAACCAUUUAACUUCCAAGGGGGUUUAUGUUUUUUUUGUCUGAUUCAGAAUAUUUUUUUUGUCAUCUGCUUGACCACAAUAUUUUUUUUCAUCAAAUUGGGGAUCAGAAUAUUUUUUUAGGAAAAAACCAUAACACGUUUUUAUAGUUGAGACACCUAUCCCAUUGCAAUUCUCACAAUAAUAAAAACAAUACAAAUGUUUCUGAAUUUACAAUACUUGUUUUUCACUAUGCAUUUUGUUAUCGAGUUACUUCACACUUCAGGGAUUUCUUCUUGUUUUAUAAAUUGUUGUACAUGUACGUUUUUAAAUGAAUGUUUAAAGGUUGUGUUAUUUUUACAUGGUUUUCUUUUACUUGUUUACAUUAUCAGGUAAAACAUUUUAAAACCUUAACUUUUACAUAUCAAUACUUGUUCUCUAUCUUUGUGCAACAGUGGUGCUAAAUUUGAUUUUUUAUUCUGUAAACCAUAACUUUCAUAAACAGCUGUCAGCUUUGCAAUAAUAAAAUGUGUAACCAAAUAA